rnacentral:rRNA from 1 species
CACGUAGGGUGCGAGCGUUGUCCGGAAUUAUUGGGCGUAAAGAGCUCGUAGGCGGUGUGUCGCGUCGGCCGUGAAAACUUGGGGCUUAACUCUGAGCGUGCGGUCGAUACGGGCAUCACUUGAGUUCGGCAGGGGAGACUGGAAUUCCUGGUGUAGCGGUGAAAUGCGCAGAUAUCAGGAGGAACACCGGUGGCGAAGGCGGUUCUCUGGGCAUUACCUGACGCUGAGGAGCGAAAGUGUGGGGAGCGAACAGG